AUGGAGAUGGCCCCUGCUGCGACCUCCGCAAGGCCGGCGGUGAGGACGAGCGAGGAUGGAGCGCUUGCACCUGAGAGCCCCGCGGCAAGGGCGAAGGGCACGGUAAGGCCGUCGGACACGCCCAUGAUGACGUCCCGCACCACCUCCUCGGCUGUGAAGUGAUGCUCCUUGUGGCUGCUGAUCAGCUCCUUCUCCAACAUCGGCUGCUCCCGUCCCUCGCUGGCGCCGUCCAUUGCCUUGAUUGCUGGAGCUAGUGAAAGGGCUGGCUAG
rnacentral:rRNA from 1 species